rnacentral:pre_miRNA from 1 species
UUUAUACUCCCUCCGUCCCAAAAUUCAUGUCUUACAUUUGUCUAGUUAUGAAUGUAUCUAGUCACAUUUUAGUAUCUAGAUACAUCCAUUUCUAGACAAACCUAAGACAAGAAUUUUAGGACGUAGGGAGUAUAAG